AUACGGAGGGUGCGAGCGUUGUUCGGAAUCAUUGGGCGUAAAGAGCAUGUAGGCGGUCUGUUAAGUCUGGUGUGAAAGCCCGGGGCUCAACCCCGGAAGUGCAUUGGAUACUGGCAGACUUGAGUAUGGGAGAGGAAAGCGGAAUUCCGAGUGUAGGAGUGAAAUCCGUAGAUAUUCGGAGGAACACCAGUGGCGAAGGCGGCUUUCUGGACCAAUACUGACGCUGAGAUGCGAAAGCGUGGGGAGCAAACAGGAUUAGAAACCCUUGUAGUCC
rnacentral:rRNA from 1 species